rnacentral:lncRNA from 1 species
AGUUUUCAUAGAGUCACAUAUGAACUUGAGCUAAUUGAAUCUAUCAUAUGACUGAUGUUGAGAUUUGACAAUUUAUCCAUGACCUGCCAUCUGGUCGGAACUCAUGAUAGAGGAACUGUACCAUACGCUAACUACACCUAAAAGUUAAUAUUUUAUUCUGCUGGGUUAUCACUAUAUACUGCUAGGUGUCACUGGUAGAUUGUGAGACUCAUGAGAAACAUCUUGAUGAUCAAAUGAUCCUUGGUGGGCUG